rnacentral:misc_RNA from 1 species
GACGUAAGUGGCAAGCGUUGUUCGGAAUCACUGGGCAUAAAGGGCGCGUAGGCGGCGCAGUCAGUCAGUGGUGAAAGCCCUCGGCUCAACCGGGGAACCGCCAUUGAAACUGCUGUGCUCGAGGCCGCGAGGGGAGUGUGGAACUCUUGGUGGAGCGGUGAAAUGCGUAGAUAUCAAGAGGAACGCCGGUGGCGAAAGCGACACUCUGGCGCGGUUCUGACGCUGAGGCGCGAAAGCUAGGGGAGCGAACGGG